CGCGACGCGGCGGCGCGUGCGGCGGCGCAGUCGCGGCGACCUCAGCCCGAACGGAGGAGUUGCGGUGACUCCCGCCUCGCUUUCGGCGGACUGCAGAGGGGUCGCCCCCACCCGCACCCCACCCCCACCCCUACUCCACCCUCAAAGCCUCGGGAUGGAGCUGCGCGUCGCAGGGUGCCGCGUUCGCGCACACUGAGCAGCCACCAGUGUCGCUUAACCUCUGGAGCAAUCCCGAACGUUAGCCUGUUCGGGUAGCCCUCGUUGGCUUCUGCAGCCGCAGGUCAGCAGACCCUGCACAAUUUGCACCAGCGGUUUCCGCUGUCUGCGGCUGCAGAGACACUGGCAUUCCGAACGUGAAAGCGCAGUUAAGGAACAUGCAGGCAAGAGAGAGCACUCUGAAAUUUGGCUUAGCCAUUGAGAAGGCUACAAUACGUGGAAGUGUUUAUCAGAUAUCUGCGCCGAGAGCAUAACUUCCUGACAGCCCAAAUAGUGGCAAAUUUUUUUAAGGCCAAAGAAUAAUCAGAGGGAGGGGAUUUGGAGCCGACCCGGGUCGAGUUGAGUGUUGCUGCACUUUGCAGAACCAACUGACUGGUGCGGAUGAUUCGGUAGGUGGCAUUCUUCCCUUGGAGUCAGGACUACAGAAAGGGUGGAUUAGUAAUGAAGGACAUCACUGCAAGAUACUAUGUGGUUGAAGGGGGUUUAUUUGUUUUUGUGGUUAAAAAAAAAAAAGAUCGAGGUUCCUGUGGGGUUGGGCUGUUAUCAGGACAGGUUGUAGAAGAAUGGGGCUCUCGCCGGCUCUGUUCCAAGCAGGAGAUGCUAUCCAAAACACACACACACAGACACACACACCACACACACACACACACACAACCCCAAACUCUGGAAUUGUUUAUUAUGGAAGUAACAGGGAGAAAAUGUUCCAGCCCAUUUUAAGCCUUGUCCACAUCACAUUGUUCAAAGCAGACUUAUACAGGCUUUAUAAGUCUUGAUUUAUAUAAUACAUAUGUACAUAAAUCAUUCAUAUAUAUAUAUAUAUAUAUAUAUAUAUAUAUAUAUGGAUAUAUGUGUGCACAGACACAGUUUUUCUGGGGUGGCCCCUGCUUAGACCCAUGUGUAGUGCCGACUUCACCCACCAUAGAGUUUGUCAUGAAUUUUAUAUCACAGAGGGCUUUGCAGUCCUUUCAUUCCUUGUUGAAAUCAUGCUGUUGUGUUUCCUAUCAUGAAUGGACAAUCCCCAUUUUCCUUACUCUGCUUCAUUUUUUAAAUUUCAAUAAUACUUAUCCCCUUCUAACAUUUCCUUAAAUAGGAAAUAGUUAUAUUUAUGAAAAUAAAAUAUUUACGAAAUAUGCAUUUCAUUUAAUAUUUCAUUUAUUAUGUUUAAUGUGAUUUAUGUUUGUCUUCCAUGGGUCAGAAAUCUUGUUGUUUGUUGUUGUAUCUCAAGAGCCUAGAGCCCUGUCCAGCACAACAAAUGUUUGUUAGUUGAAUGAAUGAGUGAGACACAGAAAGGAUAUGAGACAGAUCCAGAAGGGCCAGGCCUGAGUUGGUUAUUUUAUGCAGAGAUAAUAUCUCAUGCUCCAAUCAAAGUAUUUAUACUGCACAUGUGGAAAACUCACUUUCAGUUCCGAAUUUGUAAGUGCUUUUAUUUCAAAUUCCAUGAAUUUUGAUAUGCAUAAAAAAACCAUUCCACUCAGGAGUUUUGAGGGAGGUCUCGCUUUGUAAAGAAAAUUGUGUUUGCUCAGAUUAAUAUCACCAGAAUAAUGUUGUGAGAACACAAAUCUGAUCACAGUCACUCCCCAGCUUAAAACCUUCCUUGGCUCCUAAGUCUAUGUAAUAAAUUUCAAAUGCCAGAGUGUGAUAUACAAAGCUGCCUACAAUCUGAGGCCUCACUCCCACUUCUUUGUCUUCUCUCCUGCCCUACUUCAACCCUCACUCACCCUGUUCUCCCUCACACUGAACUAUUUGCACUUCCAAGAGCGCCUGGACCUCUCACAUCUUCAUGCCUUUGAACCUGCUGUUCCCAUUGUCUAGGAAGUUUUCCAUCUAUAUGUUCCAACCUCUGUUGUUUUACAUGUAUUCCUCUAGUUCCUGGUGUAUAGUAAAUACCUGAUAAGAAUUUGUUGAGGAAAGAAAUCUUUAUGUCAAUAAUUACCUCCGGAAAAUCUUUCUGUAUUUACUUCUCUUUACCUAGCUAAUUUUUAAAAAUAUGUAUUUAAUUAUUUGAGGGGGGGGGGAGGGGCAGAGAGAGGGAGACAGAGAAUCCCAACCAGGCUCCGCAAUGUCAGUGUGGAGCUGGAUACCAGGCUCGAUGUCACAAACCAAACUGUGAGGUCAUGACCUGAGUUGAAACCAAGAGUUGCACACUCAACCGACUACACCAGCGCCCCUACCUAGCUACUUCUACACAGCAACCACACACACAGGGUUAAGUGUACCUUCUGUGGUAGUAGCAUGACAUUUAUUGAGUGCUUACUUUAUACCAGAUACUAAUCUAAACAUUUUACACCUACUAAUUCACUUAAAUCUUAAUAGUAAUCCUACAAGGUAGAUUCCCUUACACCCCAUUUUACAGUUGGGAAAACCAAGCCACAAAGAUGUUAAAUAACUUGUUCAAACAGAUGGUAAGUAGUGAGACCAAACUUGGAAACUGGGAGCUGUGUUCCAGAACCAGUUCUCUGUCUCUCUCUUUUUUUUUUAAUUACAGUUUAUUUUUAACUUAUUUUGAGAGAGAGAGAGCGCACAGGGGUGGGGAGAGGGACAGAGAGAGAGACCCCAAGCAGGCUCUGCACCAUCAGUUAAGAGCUGUCGUGGGGCUCUAUCUCAUGACUGUGAGAUCAUGACCUGAUUCGAAAUCAAGAGUCAGAUGUUCAACUGACUGAGCCACCAAGCGCUCCCAGAACAAGUGCUCUUAACCCCUUACUUAUACUGCCUUUCCUGUGUGGCUCCUUCUCUUCAUAGCACACAUUACACUAUUAUCAUGCUUAUGCUUCUUGGAAUUAAAGGUUGUGCUUUGUCUUUUCUUCUUUGUGCCAAGCAGAGUUACACUCUUAAUGAUUUUUUUUUCAACAACUUUGCUUUGAAUGAAUGAGUGAAGUAGUAAAAACAACCAUUUUCAUUAAGCUAUACAGUUUAAGGAAGAUGCUCUGAUGGGGGAGAAAUAACCGUGGACUAGUCCUAUAUCAUUCCUUAGACCGUGAAAGAAUUUUGCCUGCACUGGGAAUGUUAUGUUGCAGAAAAGGAUGAUGCCAGAAAAUAAAAGUGAUGACAAGGCAUUUUAAGGAGUGUGAUGACCAUGUCUGACACAAGCAGGAUGCAUCCAGAAUAUUUUGAAACAAACUGUAAAGCAAAGUACUAAGAAUAGCAAAGUGAAGCAGCUGGGAAACACCAAUAGCAGACCUUUAACAGGAACUAGUCUAAGAAUGAAACCAAAAUGUUUAGCCAACCAUUAGAAUGAGUAACAGUGAAUAAAUUUAACUAUGAAAGGGGAUGUCUGUGCAACUCAUUCAUCAAAUGUAUAUUUAUUGUGUGCCUGCUAUGUGCCAGACACUGUGCCAUGCGCUUGGAAUAUAGUCGAGUUGAGUCCUCAAGUGUGAUCCUCGUAAGCCCCAAGAUGCACACAAGAAUCAUGGGCAGUGCUAUCUGAAUUUUCUAGAGCAAAGGUUGCAAGCUGAGGGGCCACAGAGUGAAUUCAGGUGUGUUUUUCAACAUAUAAACCUUUCAUUUUUUUUUUUUCAAAUUUGUUGCCAACCUUAAAAAUCAAGAUAUUUCACAUAGAAAUCUGGGUGAAAUUUCUCCAAGCAACAGUCAGCUAAAACUGAGUUGCAGCUGCGUUAUUACAUUUAAUGCUCAUGACAACUCUAUGGUUGUCAUAGUCACCACUGUCUCUAGUGCUGGGUAACUACUAACAGUAAGGUAGUGGAAGAUGAAAAACUGGCAAGAGAGGUAAAGAGACCAGAGAAGAAUGAGAAAUACCAAUGAACAGAUGUUCCAGUGAGAUGGUCAUGCAGAAUCUUGCAACAGCUUUCAACUACUGGAGACAAGGAGUAUGCUUAUUAACAGGGCACCGAGGCUUCCUCCCCCAAUGCACAGAUGUGCCUGGUCAAAUCCCGGAGGAACUUCGCUCGGCUAGCUUGGCUCACCAUUACUACCUUUGUUGGGUGAGGCUCUUUGAAUUAAUGCACCUAGUGGGUUUCUCGUCCACUUCACCUACCAUUGAUUCAACUGGCAGCCAGUGCUUUGCAGAGAACAGCCCAGCUCUGCCUCCCUUGGCAGGGGCAGGUCUGCAGGUUCCCAGCAGAAGAGAAACUUGACUGACAGAUCCAGGACACCUAAGUGUCAGAAGUACUGAAGCAAAUGCAUGACCAGACUGAAGGAUGGCUGACUUUCUGUAUCAGUUGCUCUACUCUGAUGUCUUCUAGAAGAGAGGAGAGUGAGACAGCCACUGGAGUAUCUCCAACAGUGAAUUCCCAGUUUGGAAUGUACCUCUCCUUCACAUAAUCCUGGCAUUCUCAACAUGGGGAAGGAAGCUGACUCCAUCCAUCCCAGGCACCAGAGAACACCAUGGCCUCGCUGUGGGGAUCAAGCAAGUCUGGAUGUCAGGGGAUGCACCCCCUCCCUUGCCGGGGAACACCAGCGCAUAUUGGACCCAUCCUAGCCCAUCCAGGAUCCAUUGGUUCAUCUCCUGCUGCAGCAUUCAUAGUUCUAGAGCCUGUACCUUGGAUGCAAAAUUAAUGUGCCCGGAAGAGCAGUAUUGCAAACAAGCCGCAUCCCUGCCAGUGCCCAAACAGCCCCUGAGCUCAGAAGAGAAGCUGUCUUGGAUAAGGUUGCAGUCUCAGCCAACACCUUGACUGUGGCCAUAUGAGACCCUGAGAAGGAGACCCGCUUCGGCUGUGCCUGGACUCCUGACCCACUUGACAAUUCUGUGCAUUACUCAGUGCUCAUCACAAGAACUGUAUGUUGUUUUAAGUGUGAAGUGUGUAUCUGAACUCACGGAGUGUUGAAGAGAGUGUCCAGAGGAACCAAGCAACUCCUGAGACCUUUCUCCCAGGAAGAGAAAAAGAGGGAGGAGGAAGAGGCAGAGAAAGGAGCAAGAGGAGCAACAGAAGGAAGAGAGUACGCAAGAGGACGUGAUCUCUUUGGACUUCAUAUUACUGGUCUGUUAAAGGAAGGGAGGGGACCUUGCAAAGGCAUGAACACCAAGAGGCGGGGUUACGGGGCCUUCGAGUCUGUCACAGUCAGCUCAAAUCCAGAAGAGAACUACAGAGGAGCUGGGAUCAGCUCUGUGCUUGGCAGGAAGCACCAGAAGCCGCUCUCACAGGUCCUCGUACAAGAUUCCUAUGUUGGCCUGUUUAUGUUUUUUCAUUUGCUCAGAGUGUGUCACAGAUAACCAAAUGAAAGGUAGCCAGAAAUGAGGCGCAAAGCAUCUAAAUCCAUCCAGCAUCAAUGAAGUGGACCAUGGAGUCAGCAUAACAUGAACACGGCAGCCCAACGCUGUGAUGUGUCAUUAUCCAAGAGGUGGUGUUAUUCAUUACCUCUCCACAGAAGUUCCUAGAAUGAAAAAUAAAACUUUUUGGAAUCUUUCGUAAAAUGUGUUUUUACAGCAGCAUAAAAGUAAGAGAUGUUUACUGUAAUAAAAUAAACAAUAAAACAUAUGUAAAAUACAAAUGAAAAGCCACCCCUCAGCUCCGACCCUCCCCCCAACCUGCCAUUUCCCAAUUCAAACGGCCACCGAGAUUGCCAUGAUCAACAGAUCGUGGUCAUCCUUUGACACAUUUUCUAAGCACACAUGUUCCGUUCACACAGCUAGACUAUACUGUACAUUUCCUGCAACCUGCCAUGUUUGGUUAGCAGACAUCAUUCCAAGUCAGUACAGAGAGAGAUGCCUUGUUCUUUAAUGGAUUUCACACAUGACAUUGUAGGUUAAUUCUAGGGGGUUUUUGUUGUUGUUUUGGGGAUUCUUUUUUUUUUUUUUACUGUUAAAAACAGGACUUCGUGGUCAUUUGUAUCCACAGAUAUUUGUGUGUGUAUUUAUUUGUAGGAUAAAUUUCCCAAAGUGAAAUUGCCGGGUUAAAGGGUAGGCACGUUCCAAAUUCAAAUUGAUAUUGCCAGUUGCCCCCAAAAAUGGUUGUAUCAAUUUAUACUCUCAGAAACUCCUUUACUUGGUAUUUUUUCCCUAAAAGUGAGGAUGGAGAAGGAACACCAGAGACCUUGAUGAGGGAGGUAAAGAAAUAGCAAAAUCCGGGCAAGUCCCUUCACCACUCUGCCCCUGGCUGAGUCUGCUGAGCCUGACGCACCGAAGGAGGAGGGAACUGAAAGAAGCAGCUGCUGAUUCACAAACACCUCCCACCCCGUCAGGGGUUGAAGAGCCUGUUUCUGUCUAACUUCAAAAAAAAGAAAGAAGGACUCAGAGAACAUCUUCUAAUCCACCUGUCUGGUUUUGUUCAAGGAUUUCUGUACCUCACUCCGGGAGAUAAGAGGCCUUUUGGACAAGGCUUUCUUUCAAAAGCACCAAGUACAAAAUGUUUGAGCGGUGGUAAUUUAAUUCUAACAGCCUUUAGCAUUCCCAGAAGAAACAAGAUCCUGUGCAAUUGAUGAUUGAGUCAUUCAGGCAAAAUGGGGUUAAGGGGGCUGACAUCGAUAAAUCGGCUUUUUCUGGCCUCUCCUGGCUACAUUAAUAAAAAUCUCAUGGGCAUCUUAACCCUAUGCUUGUCAAGCUCUGAAGCAAUCCAUUGCUUGGAUUUUUCUCGGAGCCGAACAAAAAGAUAUCUGAUCCCGAGAUAAAAUCCCAUCAGCACCAUCACCUGCUGCCAGGAAACUUUCUCCUUGAGAAGUAGGAAUAAAAAUUAAGUUUGUGGGGCGCCUGGGUG